rnacentral:rRNA from 1 species
UACGUAUGGUGCAAGCGUUAUCCGGAUUUACUGGGUGUAAAGGGAGCGUAGGCGGCGUGUCAAGUCAGAAGUGAAAGCCCGCAGCUCAACUGCGGGACUGCUUUUGAAACUGACAGGCUAGAGUGUCGGAGAGGUAAGUGGAAUUCCUAGUGUAGCGGUGAAAUGCGUAGAUAUUAGGAGGAACACCAGUGGCGAAGGCGGCUUACUGGACGAUGACUGACGCUGAGGCUCGAAAGCGUGGGGAGCAA